CACCUACCUAUGCUGCUCCUACAUUCAUGCCCUCCUUCACAGUUCCACGUCCUUGAGAUUAUAACGUCCUACCUGAAAGUCGGAGGGGUGUGGUGACCGCCAGUGUCUCUGAUGGAAGCCAUGGAGGAGCCAAGAAAGUCGCAGCUGCCUCUUUGACAGCUGCAGGAGGACGCAAGCUCCGCACAUGUCUCCGCCAUUUUACUGCCGUGUUGCAGACGCCGUUUGGAAACAAUUAAGGUGAUUGGAGAGUGGGUCCAUGACGACAACUUCUGUUUUGUUUGAUCGGCCGUUUUACAGCCGCGUUGCAGACACCAUUUGGAAACAAUAAAGGUGAUUGGAGAGCGGGUCCAUGACGACAACUUCUGUUUUGUUUCGUCAGCCAUUUUACUGCCGUGUUGCAGACGCCGUUUGGAAACAAUUAAGGUGAUUGGAGAGCGGGCCCAUGGCGACAACUUCUGUUUUGUUUCAUCUGCCAUUUUACUGCCGUGUUGCAGACGCCGUUUGGACAAAAUUAAGGUGAUUGGAGAGCGGGUUCAUGAUGACAACUUCUGUUUUGUUUGAUCGGCCGUUUUACUGCCGUGUUGCAGACACCGUUUGGAAUAAAUUAAGAGGUGUGGCCUGUACAUCACAUGGGCACAACACAAACAUGGUGUUUUUUUCUGGGGAUAAUCCCUUUGGACAAAGCCGCCGUGUGUGUCAGAGCAGGUGUUCCACCAGCUGUCCAAGGCCAAAAUACCUGCUGUGAUUUAACCACUCGGGGGGGCGUGGCCUCAAGCACACCUGGAAUUGUAGGCGUCGGCCUAAACAAAACCGGCACCUUUCAUAGUCUUGAAUCACACUUUAAGGCCUCGCUCGUCUCACCAUGGCCCCUCCAAAAGCAUGGUGGUCCGGGUCCAUCUUUACCUGAUGCAUUCUUCCUCCAAUGGGCUUCCCGAGUCCUCGUCGUCGCUGUCUUCCAGCUCGGGAAGAUGUCCCCACAGGAGCAGAUUCAGACCUGAAGACAUUAUCCAUCUUCAGUACAAAUUAGAUGUAUCAAUUUCAUAUUUGAACCGAUACAUGGUAGCUGAGAAUGGAUACAAAUAAUACCAGCUUUCGGGGUUUUUAAGUGUCAAUACAUGUUAUUUGUUUAUCAAUAACAUUUAUUAAUGUAAUUCAGCAUUUAAGAUUAUAAUAAUAACUUAUUACAUCUUGUGUUAUUACACUUAUGACUCUCAUUUGCAAGUAUUAUAUUAUACUUUGCAUGAAAUUAAAGUGCCAAGGCGGUAGAUAGCAGUAGUGCACAGGUGUCAAACUCAAGGCCCAGGGGCCUAAUCUGGCCCGCCAUAUUAUUUUAUGUGGCCCUCGAAAGCUUGGAAAUAUGAGUUAAUACAAUGCUUUAUCUUUUCUUACUAAACAGAUGUGUUCUUUCCGGUUAAAAAUCAUGUACUGCAUGCAAUUGCAUAUCUUUUAAAAUGUACUAUUAUCCAAAAAUCAUAUGUAUUCCA